UCAGUAUUGGUAAUUGAUUUUUUUUUUUAAAUUUCCAAGAAACCAAGAGACAUCUAAUUGAAGAACCAAACUUUCAAUUCUAUAGGAUGUAACAUGAAGACCUAAAUUAUUUGUUAUGGCUUUUACAUGGAAAAUCCGUCCACACAGAUUUUGCAAUUCUGAUGUUAUUCAAGUAACCGGUGAAAUUGGCGAAUGAUCUCGCUUUUUCCCUGUAAAAUACAAUCACAAGUAUCAACUUUAUGUUUGAUUAAAAUGUGUAAAAUAUGUUAUAUGCAAGUAAUCUUGGUUGUUUGCUUGAUUACUUGGUUGUUAUGAAAACAUCAUUUUUGUGUAUAAUAAGAAUAGUUUCCCAGUAAGGAAAUAUCUUGCUUUCAGUUUUUAA